rnacentral:lncRNA from 1 species
AAGCUCGAAGAGCUUUCUUUGCAUGCUUGAGCACAUCUUUUCCCUUUAUAUGGAAGAACCAACCCUUAACUUAAAGGGCAUAACCAACGGAAGGUUCUCACCCUGUCCCCGACAUUGUUCUUCGACGAUGGCCCCUAGGCAAAAGGGGCCACCAUUCUCUUUUGUUCUUCAAUCGUUAUCAGCCCAAGACUAAGGCUGAGCAACUAGCUGCUGCAAGAUUGGACGUCUAUCUAUCUCACCACG